CAGCCGCCACAACAUGUAUGCUCGACCUCGCUGUCGAAGCAGGGGAACCCGGUGAAAGUCCGGGACUGCCCCGCAACGGUGAGCGGGCUGUAGCGACGCCCGCGCAGUCCGAGGACCUGCCGACGGUGUGCGACACGGC
rnacentral:ncRNA from 12 species